rnacentral:rRNA from 1 species
UGGGGAAUAUUGGACAAUGGGCGCAAGCCUGAUCCAGCCAUGCCGCGUGAGUGAUGAAGGCCCUAGGGUUGUAAAGCUCUUUUGUGCGGGAAGAUAAUGACGGUACCGCAAGAAUAAGCCCCGGCUAACUUCGUGCCAGCAGCCGCGGUAAUACGAAGGGGGCUAGCGUUGCUCGGAAUCACUGGGCGUAAAGGGUGCGUAGGCGGGUCUUUAAGUCAGAGGUGAAAGCCUGGAGCUCAACUCCAGAACUGCCUUUGAUACUGAGGAUCUCGAGUUCGGGAGAGUGGAGUGGAACUGCGAGUGUAGAGGUGAAAUUCGUAGAUAUUCGCAAGAACACCAGUGGCGAAGGCGGCUCACUGGCCCGAUACUGACGCUGAGGCACGAAAGCGUGGGGAGCAAACA